rnacentral:rRNA from 1 species
CCAAUAGCGUAUAUUAAAGUUGUUGCAGUUAAAACGCUCGUAGUUGAAUUUCGGGAUCAAUAUGUCGGUCGUGCCUCCGGUACGUACUGGCGUCAUUGGUUUCUCCCUUCUGAUGAACCACGAUGUCAUUAAUUUGGUGUCAUGGGGAAUCAGGACUGUUACUUUGAAAAAAUUAGAGUGUUUAAAGCAGGCUCACGCUUGAAUACAUUAGCAUGGAAUAAUGAAAUAGGACGUUUGAUUCUAUUUUGUUGGUUUCUAGGAUCGACGUAAUGAUUAAUAGGGAUAGUUGGGGGCAUUAGUAUUCAAUUGUCAGAGGUGAAAUUCUUGGAUUUAUUGAAGACUAACUACUGCGAAAGCAUUUGCCAAGGAUGUUUUCAUUAAUCAAGAACGAAAGUUAGGGGAUCGAAGACGAUCAGAUACCGUCGUAGUCUUAACCAUAAACUAUGCCGACUAGGGAUCGGAUGAUGUUAAUUUUUUAAUGACUCAUUCGGCGCCUUACG